CUUAAAUGAAUUGACGGGACCCGCACAAGCAGCGGAGCGUGUGGUUAAUUCGAAGCAACGCGAAGAACCUUACCAGGUCUUGACAUCCCCUGACAACCCGAGAGAUCGGGCGUUCCCCUUCGGGGGACAGGGUGACAGGUGGUGCAUGGUUGUCGUCAGCUCGUGUCGUGAGAUGUUGGGUUAAGUCCCGCAACGAGCGCAACCCUCGACCUUAGUUGCCAGCAUUCAGUUGGGCACUCUAAGGUGACUGCCGGCUAAAAGUCGGAGGAAGGUGGGGAUGACGUCAAAUCAUCAUGCCCCUUAUGACCUGGGCUACACACGUGCUACAAUGGGCGGUACAAAGGGUCGCGAACCCGCGAGGGGGAGCCAAUCCCAAAAAGCCGCUCUCAGUUCGGAUUGCAGGCUGCAACUCGCCUGCAUGAAGCCGGAAUCGCUAGUAAUCGCGGAUCAGCAUGCCGCGGUGAAUACGUUCCCGGGCCUU
rnacentral:rRNA from 1 species